CAGUAGCCGCGGUAAUACGAGGGGUGCAAGCGUUAUUCGGAUUGAUUGGGUGUAAAGGGUGUGCAGACGGCUUAUUAAGUCACUUGUUAAAUUCUUCGGCCUAACUGAAGGUCUGCAAGUGAUACUGAUGAGCUAGAGGGUGGAUGAGAGAAGUGGAAUUCUCGGAGUAGCGGUAAAAUGCGUAGAUCUCGAGAGGAACACCAAUGGCGAAGGCAGCUUCUUGGUCCAUUCCUGACGUUCAUACACGAAAGCGUGGGGAGCGAACAGGAUUAGAUACCCGAGUAGUCCCUGUCUCUUAUAC
rnacentral:rRNA from 1 species